rnacentral:rRNA from 1 species
GAGUUUGAUCUUGGCUCAGAUUGAACGCUGGCGGCAUGCCUUACACAUGCAAGUCGAACGGCAGCAUGAUCUAGCUUGCUAGAUUGAUGGCGAGUGGCGAACGGGUGAGUAAUACAUCGGAACGUGCCCUGUAGUGGGGGAUAACUAGUCGAAAGAUUAGCUAAUACCGCAUACGACCUGAGGGUGAAAGUGGGGGACCGCAAGGCCUCAUGCUAUAGGAGCGGCCGAUGUCUGAUUAGCUAGUUGGUGGGGUAAAGGCCCGACCAAGGCGACGAUCAGUAGCUGGUCUGAGAGGACGAUCAGCCACACUGGGGACUGAGACACGGCCCAGACUCCUACGGGAGGCAGCAGUGGGGAAUUUUGGACAAUGGGCGAAAGCCUGAUCCAGCAAUGCCGCGUGUGUG